rnacentral:tRNA from 6 species
GGAGAGGUGGCUGAGUGGUCGAAAGCGAACGACUCGAAAUCGUUUGACGGGUAAAACCGUCCGUGGGUUCGAAUCCCACCCUCUCCG